AUUUAUCAAUGCUACUCCUACUCCUGCACCUCUAGAGGUUUUCGAUCCAUCGAAAUAUAUAACUUAAGAUUUUAAUUUGAAUGAAUUGAUCUCUAACUCAAUUUCCUCAGGCAUAUCAAGAAAUGGAUGAUCGGCCAGAAAGUUAGCCAAAACCUGAUUUUUGACUACCUUUUGGGGUAUGUAUUGUAUUUCGAAAUCUAAUAAAGCUAAUGUCCAAAGGCCUCCCCUUUGGUGCAAAAUAGGGCGAGAGAACAUAUACUUAACCAAAUUUACUUUAGAAAUUAAAUGAACGGUUACGGGCCGUAAAUAAGCCCUUAAUUUUGUACAUGUGAAAUACAAUGCAAGACAUAAUUUUUUAAUGGCAGAAUAAUUACAUUCACAUUUUGUUAACCGUCUACUCAAGUAGUAAAUCGCCCUUUCUUCACCAAAUUGGUCUUCCUGCGCGACCAUUCCAGCUAUUGAUUCUUUUUCAGCCGAUACAUACACUUUCAUUGGCCGUCAUUGGAUUGGUGACACCAACACUGGUGGAUUUGAUAAAUAUGUCUUUAGGCUUUCAAAAGUCUUUUGAUGCUUUUCUUUCCAGACGAAUUCGUCCAGAUUUUUCAACUUUAAAAGCGACGAAAAAGUUUUAAUUCGCCCUGAACAGUUAGAAAUAAAGCGUCUUAAAAAGUUUACUUGGCCUAGAAACCUUUGCAAUUCUUUUUGUUGUUAGGUGGUUUGGCCUCUAGAAUGACCUUCGCUUUAUUUUUAUCAAGUUCAAUCCCUCUUUUGUGAACUAAGAAACCAAGAAAAUUUCCUGCAUUAACACCAAAUGCACAUUUCAAG
rnacentral:lncRNA from 1 species